rnacentral:tRNA from 1 species
CGGGGUGUAGCGCAGCCCGGCAGCGCGCAUCGUUCGGGACGAUGAGGUCAGAGGUUCGAAUCCUCUCACCCCGA